GUUUCCUACGGGGGGCAGCAGUGGGGAAUAUUGGGCAAUGGGCGCAAGCCUGACCCAACAAAGCCGCGUGAAGGAAGAAGGCUUUCGGGUUGUAAACUUCUUUUCUCAGGGACGAAGCAAGUGACGGUACCUGAGGAAUAAGCCACGGCUAACUACGUGCCAGCAGCCGCGGUAAUACGUAGGUGGCAAGCGUUAUCCGGAUUUACUGGUUGUAAAGGGCGUGUAGGCGGGAAAGCAAGUCAGAUGUGAACACAACGGGCUCAACCUAUGGCCUGCAUUUGAAACUGUUUUUCUUGUGUACUGGG
rnacentral:rRNA from 1 species